rnacentral:rRNA from 1 species
UCCGUAGGAUGCAAGCGUUGUCCGGAUUUAUUGGGUUUAAAGGGUGCGUAGGCGGCCUAUUAAGUUAGUGGUGAAAGCGUUCGGCUUAACCGGAUACCCGCCAUUGAUACUGAUAGACUUGAGUGCGACAGAGGGUGUUGGAAUGUGUGGUGUAGCGGUGAAAUGCUUAGAUAUCACGCAGAACACCAAUUGCGAAGGCAGAUGCCUAUGUCGUAACUGACGCUGAGGCACGCAAGCGUGGGGAGCAAACAGG